AAUAACCUUAUUUUUCGUUUUUUCAUGUCCAACGUUUGACCAUUCAUCUUAUUUGAAAUUUUUUACGAUUAAUAUUUUUACUGUUACUAGAUGAUAAAAUAUAAAUAGUACUUUAUAUGUGACUAUUUUUUUUUAAGUUUUUAUAUAAAUUUUUUAAAUAAUACGAAUAGUCAAAUAUUAGAGACACGGAAAAAC
rnacentral:pre_miRNA from 1 species